GUCCCUGUAGCGCAAUGGGCAGCGCGUGUUGGACUUCUAAUCCAAUGGUCGUGUCUUCGAAUUCCACCUGGGAAG